rnacentral:rRNA from 1 species
UGGGAAACUGGGGAUAAUACCCGAUGGUCCUCGGCUGCUGGAAUGCCUCGAGGACGAAAGCUCCGGCGCCUAAGGAUGGGUCUGCGGCCUAUCAGGUAGUAGUGGGUGUAGCGUACCUACUAGCCUACGACGGGUACGGGUUGUGAGAGCAAGAGCCCGGAGAUGGAUUCUGAGACACGAAUCCAGGCCCUACGGGGUGCAGCAGGCGCGAAAACUUUACAAUGCUGGCAACAGCGAUAAGGGAACCUCGAGUGCCAGGUUACAAAGCUGGCUGUCGGGAUGCCUAAAAAGCAUUGCAGAGCAAGGGCCGGGCAAGACCGGUGCCAGCCGCCGCGGUAACA